AACGAACGCUGGCGGCAUGCCUAACACAUGCAAGUCGAACGAAGCCUUCGGGCUUAGUGGCGCACGGGUGCGUAACGCGUGGGAAUCUGCCCUUGGGUUCGGAAUAACAGUUAGAAAUGACUGCUAAUACCGAAUGAUGUCUUCGGACCAAAGAUUUAUCGCCCAAAGGAUGAGCCCGCGUCGGAUUAGCUAGUUGGUGAGGUAAAGGCUCACCAAGGCGACGAUCCGUAGCUGGUCUGAGAGGAUGAUCAGCCACACUGGGACUGAGACACGGCCCAGACUCCUACGGGAGGCAGCAGUGGGGAAUAUUGGACAAUGGCGAAAGCCUGAUCCAGCAAUGCCGCGUGAGUGAUGAAGGCCUUGGUCGUAAAGCUCUGUCGCAUGGGAAUAAGACAGUGAAUGUACCAUGCAAGAAAGGAUCGGCUAACUUCGUGCCAGCAGCCGCGGUAA
rnacentral:rRNA from 1 species